rnacentral:rRNA from 1 species
AUUGAACGCUGGCGGCAGGCCUAACACAUGCAAGUCGAACGAGUGGCGGACGGGUGAGUAAUGUCUGGGAAACUGCCCGAUGGAGGGGGAUAACUACUGGAAACGGUAGCUAAUACCGCAUACCAUCGGAUGUGCCCAGAUGGGAUUAGCUAGUAGGUGGGGUAACGGCUCACCUAGGCGACGAUCCCUAGCUGGUCUGAGAGGAUGACAAGCCACACGGGAAAGGAGACACGGUCCAGACUCCGACGGGAGGCAGCAGGGGGGAAUAUUGCACGAUGGGCGCAAGCCUGAUGAAGCGAUGCCGGGUGGAGGAAGAGGGCCAUAGGGUUGUAAAGUACUUUCAGCGUGGAGACGUUACCCGCAGAAGAGGCACCGGCUGACUCCGUGCCAGCAGCCGCGGUAAUAC